rnacentral:lncRNA from 1 species
AGACUACAAGCCAUUGAUCAAGAAAGCUUCAAAAGAAAACUAAAGAAGGCUUCACAGAACCAUUAAAGAAAGCAUCAUUUCUACAAUGAGUGGAGGUAUUACUUUAACCGUCUUUAUGAUUCUAUUAUGUGAUUAAUAUAGAUGUUUAAGAUCUAAGGGUUCAUGUUAAAGUAUGUUUAACAUGUGGUAUCAGAGCUUAUGGUUAUGAACAUCUAAAUAAUCCAUUAAGAAUACUAGAUCUAUGGUUUAAGGAACUGAAAAUUAGAACCGCAAAGUUAUGAUAUUUGUAGACUUGCAUUAGUUUAACUUUCGGUUUUUAAAAGAAAUUUUUUAAAGUGAUAAGAAAUUGGUUUCUUUUAAUGUGUAUAAUUAAGAAAUUGAUAUCACGAUAAUAGGUUUUGUCAUAUGAUGAUUUGCACAUAAAAGCCAAAUAUUUUAAAAGAAAUUUUGAUAUGUUUAUGUAUUAAUUAGCUACCCACAGGUAGGCUGUUUUCAUCAAACAUGAUAAAAAAAUUAUUAGAAUGUUUGUAUGUGAGUUAAUUAAGUAUACCCACAUAUAGCUUAAUUUAUUUGAUACAUCAUUUAAGAAAAGUUCUCGAAAGCUAUGACCUUAUGAAAUAUUAUAGUGACUACCAACAGGAGCAUUAUAAUUUAUCGUCAUAUGCUUUCAAUAAUUGUGGUUAAUGUAUUGUUUAACUUUGAACCUCAAUUAAAAGCUUGUUAUAUCUCUAAAUCGCAGCAUCAUUUCCUGUUAAUUUGUCAUCUAUGGUCUCCACUGUUCCAAUCCUCACUGGAACCAACUUCUGAGAAUGGAAAGAGAAAGUUUAGUUCACAUUAGGAGUACUAGAUAUGGAUUUGGCACUUCGUGAAGAAGAGCUAGAUCCCUUAACUAUAAUUAGUACUUAGGAAGAAAAGACACUCCAUAAAGCUAGGGAGAAAGCGAACAGAUUGAGCAUGAUGUUUUUAAGAAUGACAAUAGCUAGCAAUGUUAAAACUUCCCUUCCUAAUGUAGAUAAAGCUAAGGCUUAUCUAGCAGCUAUAGAAGAACGGUUUAAGCAAUGUCCGCAUAACAAAAUGGAACAUAAUGAAAUGCAAAGUACCCUUAUGCAUCUCUUGUGGGAAGUUUAAUGUAUGCACAGGUCUGUACUCGACCUGAUAUUAGCCAUGCAGUCGGAAUGUUGGGUAGAUUUCAAAGUAACCCAGGACUUGCUCAUUGGAAAGCUGCGAAAAAAGUAUUGAGAUAUCUAAAGGGGACAAGAAACUACAUGUUGACAUAUCGAAAAUCAACACAUCCACCGAUGGUUGGAUAUUUAGACUUAGAUUUUGGUGGAUGUCAAGAUUCUAGGCACUGUACUCUCGGCUAUGUGUAUCUCCUUUCCGGAGGUGCCAUUUCAUGGAAAAGCCAGAAGUCAUAAUUAAUUUAUACAUCCACUAUGGAAGUUGAGUAUGUAGCAUGUUAUGAGGCUUCUAUUCAAAGAACAUGAUUGCAGAAUUUCGUGUCAGAGUUUGGGGGUUUGAACUUCAUUGACAAACCUCUAACUCUUUAUUGUGACAAUCAAGCUGCAAUGUUUUUCUCAAAGAAUGAUAGGAUAUCUAAAGGAGCCAAGCAUAUGGAACUCAAUGUUAAAAGAGAAAAGUUUGUCAUUAAACACAUAGACACUGAGCUAAUGAUCGCAGACAUAUUUACGAAAGCGUUACCUCCUAUGAUAUUUAUGAAGUAUGCUGAAAUUAUGGGUUUGGAGGAUAACACUUGAUUAUGUAGUAUGCUAAUGUUUUAAAUCUAUGUUUGACAUGAAUUAGAGCUCUCUUAUGACUUUUACAUCUUCUAUAUAUUCUGUUUCCAACGUGCGCACACAUUAUUGUUUGUUGGAAUUAUUGAUAACAGAAUACGUCUUUAGAUAUAUAGACAUAAAAGAGACCAUUAAAGAUAACUCCUACUUAUGAAAUAAUGUUUAUGGUCUAUUUAUGAAAGUAGUUAAUGCAGUAGUACAUGGAAGGAAUCAUGUUGCAAAAUGAUGUGUGACUGCCAUGACUCUCAUUGAUUACAGGAUUAGCCAUGACACUUAUGAAAGACCAAAUGAAUAAAUAUAACAUAUUAUGCCGGCCUUAUGAUUUCCAAAUAAAACCAUUGAGACUAACGACCAAGUGGGAGAAUGUAAGAAAAUUAUUUAUUCUUACCCAUGUAUGUGGUCUAAUAGUUGGUCUCUUAUUUGGGAUUAUUAUAUUUUGAUAAAAUUUUGGUAAGCAAUAAAAUUGGUUAUUAAGGAGUUAAUUCCUAAAUGAAUUUAAAGAACAAUAAGAGGACAAGUGUUAAGUUGCAUGUCAUGUUUUGGUUCAUAAAUGGACAAGUGGUAAGACACAUGUCAUUCUUAUGUUAAGAGAACCAUGCAAAAGAACACUUGUCCUCACACUUGUCACCAUUGCCCUAAUCUCUACUUUGAUGGAUGGUUGAGAUUAAAUUGGAAGGCAAAACCCUAAUGAGGAAUGAGGUCCUCUCCCCACCUAUAAAUAGAUGACUUGCUCCAUCAAAAUUAUCAUGAACAAAAACAACACUUAAAAGAAAGGGUUUAUAGGAGAGGGGAGAGAAACUUUAUUUUCCACUUAAAAGAUUUAAGAGUUUCUUUUCAAGACUACAAGCCAUUGAUCAAGAAAGCUUCAAAGGAAAACUAAAGAAGGCUUCAAGGAACCAUUAAAGAAAGCAUCAUUACUACAAUGAGUGGAGGUAUUACUUUAACCCUAUGAUUCUAUUAUGUGAUUAAUAAAGAUGUUUAAGAUCUUAGGGUUCAUGUUAAAGUAUAUUUAACAGAUUUAGGUAUCUGUUUGCACUUGUUUCAUACAAUCUAGAAAGUUAGGAUUUGAUCAUGAUGAUCUCUUCUCACUCGAGCCAACAGAUCUACACUCGUGCCAGCAUAUCUACACUCGUGCCAGCAUAUCUACACUCAAGUAAUAAGGGAGCUAAUGGCAAAGGAUUUGACUUGUUAAUUGUUUGAAUCUCCUCUCAAGUUUUAGCUUUUAAUGUAUACAUCAAUUAAUCAUUAGAGCUCUUAUAGUUAUUUUUUAGUUUCCUUUGCAUUUCCAGGACCUUUUUAGAAUAUUGUUUUCAUUUUAUUACAUCAAUUUAUAAUUCAUUCCUCCUUUCUAGUUUUUCCUAAUUUCUACAGUCUUUAAACAUUCCAUUAAUGUCUCCAAUUCAGUUUUGGUUUGGUUUUAUUGUCUCCAAUUCAAGGGAAUGAUGUUAGUAACUACAUCACAUGCUGAAUCUUAUCACUAAUACCUGAUAAGCCCAUAAGUUCUCGAGUUCACAUCCUAAAACCACAAAUUUAGGAGUACCUUCCUAAAAUUAAAGACGCUUCUUAAACAUCAUGAAAUCCUUUCUAAUUUUUUAAACAUGAGUUCUUACAUCUAUUAAUUUAUCUUUUGCCUCAAUGUAUCACAAAUUACUCUAUUUAGUGAGGAAUAAUGUUUUGAUUUUGUGUACAUCAUGUGGGGAAGACUGAUGGAGUGGGGAAGAUGAAGUGUCCUGUGGGGAAGACUGAUCGAGGAAGAAGAUGAACUGCGAAAACAGUCAACGGAGACGAGAUAGAACGAAACAAAGACGGCGAGGCAAAACAAGGCAAAGUGCUUCUGUUGGUGAAUUGAAAGGAUUACGGUGGCUAAGGUGAGGCGAUUCAAAGCAAAGAGAACACAAAACAUCGAGACAUAGUCAGACUUAG